UACGUAGGAUGCAAGCGUUGUCCGGAAUUAUUGGGCGUAAAGAGCGCGCAGGCGGUCUAUCAAGUCAGAUGUGAAAUAUCCGGGCUUAACCCGGAGGGGUCAUUUGAAACUGGUAGACUAGAGUACAGCAGAGGAUAGCGGAAUUCCCGGUGUAGUGGUGAAAUGCGUAGAUAUGCGGAGGAACACCGAUGGCGAAGGCAAUCCCCUGGGCCUGCACUGACGCUCAUGCACGAAAGCGUGGGGAGCAAACAGG
rnacentral:rRNA from 1 species